UCAAAUUUACAUCUUCAACCCCAUUAUUCUGAAAUUCAAAGAGAAUAAAACAAUAAAAAUCAAGAAUCAAAUCCAAAGCGUGUUUCCUCUAAAAAAACACAAGAGUUUUUCCCACAUUAAACGAAAAGAACGAAGCAUACGUUUAUUCUGUUUCAUCUUCUGCUUUCCUAACUCAUAUAAUUAAAGCAUCUAUCGACGAAGACGAAGAGAUGGUGGAAGCAAAAAAAGAUAAUUAUGAGGAUGACGACAAGUGAUAGAUUAAUAUCGUAGAAGUUUGAUGGGAUCUUUUAAACACCACCGGAAAAGUAGAAGUCGAUAUAUAAAUAUAGUAUAAUAUUUUUUUAUGGGUGUAUCUCAUGUCUUAUUGAUGGAGAUAAGAAAUUGUAUGUGACAGUUAAGAUGAGCAAAACGCUUUACCUGUAAAAGAUUAUCUGAUAGGAUGGAAAUUUAAGUUUUUA